rnacentral:rRNA from 1 species
GACGAACGCUGGCGGCGUGCUUAACACAUGCAAGUCGAACGGAAAGGCCUGCUUUCCCUUGUGGAUUGCGGGUACUCGAGUGGCGAACGGGUGAGUAACACGUGAGUGAUCUGCCCCCAACUUGGGUAUAAGCCUGGGAAACUGGGUCUAAUUCCCGAUAGGACUGCAGGGUGGUGCCUGUGGUGGAAAACGAUUUUCUAGUGGUUGGGGAUGAGCUCGCGGCCUAUCAGCUUGUUGGUGGGGUAAUGGCCUACCAAGGCGGCGACGGGUAGCCGGCCUGGGAGGGUGGACGGCCAAAUUGGGACUGAGAUACGGCCCAGACUCCUACGGGAGGCAGCAGUGGGGAAUAUUGGACAAUGGGCGGAAGCCUGAUGCAGCGACGCAGCGUGGGGGAUGACGGCCUUCGGGUGGUAAACUCCUUUCGACCGCGAGGAAGCCACCUGGUUGGAAGGGUGGUGACGGUAGUGGUAGAAGAAGCACCGGCUAACUACGUG